rnacentral:rRNA from 1 species
AUCAAGAAGAGCAUAUGGAGGAUGCCUUGGUAGAAGAUGCCGAUGAAGGACGUAGCAGACUGCGAUAAGCUUCGGGGAGUCGUCAAGCAGACUUUGAUCCGGAGAUGUCCGAAUGGAGAAAUCUAAUCGUGCAAACCACGAUUGUCUGUGCUUUGCACAGAAAUCCAAAAUUCGAAAUCCUAAAUCCUAAACAAAUUCAAAAUUCAAAAUAUUAAAUUUUAAACUAAAUAUGUUUAGAUAUUAUAAUUUUGAAAAUUAGAUAUUGUUUCGAAUUUAGUGCUUAGAGUUUAGAAUUUCUGCGCAGAGCGCAGUCGGGUACCUGCUGAACUGAAACAUCUUAGUAAGCAGAGGAAAAGAAAACAACAUCCCCCUUUGGGGGAAGUGUGUCUUUGGUUUUUCUUAAUGCAAAAUAAUAAAUUUAAUAUUUUUGAAUUUUGAUUUUUGCAUUUUGAUUUUGUGCCAAAGGUGCAUUGUGAUUCCCAGAGUAGUGGCGAGCGAAAUGGGAAAAGUUCUGAUUGUGAGAAAUCUAAUUUAUUAGUUGAAUGAAUCUGGAAAGGACGACCAUAGAGGGUGAUAGUCCCGUA